rnacentral:rRNA from 1 species
AUUGAACGCUGGCGGCAGGCCUAACACAUGCAAGUCGAACGAGUGGCGGACGGGUGAGUAAUGUCUGGGAAACUGCCUGAGGGAGGGGGAUAACUACUGGAAACGGUAGCUAAUACCGCAUACCAUGGGAUGUGCCCAGAUGGGAUUAGCUAGUUGGUGGGGUAACGGCUCACCAAGGCGACGAUCCCUAGCUGGUCUGAGAGGAUGACAAGCCACACUGGAACUGAGACACGGUCCAGACUCCUACGAGAGGCAGCAGUGGGGAAUAUGGCACAAUGGGCGAAAGCCUGAUGCAGCAAUGCCGCGUGUAUGAAGAAGGCCUUCGGGUUGUAAAGUACUUUAAGCUGGGAGGCGUUACCCGCAGAAGAAGCACCGGCUAACUCCGUGCCAGCAGCCGCGGUAAUUC